CGCUUGGAUGGGCACUCUCUCUCUCCCUCUUGAGGUGCGAUGGAGAAGGAGAGAGAGAGAGAGAAGAAAAAUAAAAGACGCCUCAGGCAAGAGAGUAAAGGACCGGAGUGGUGCAGAGAGCACAGGAGAGAUCUUUGACUACCUACCCACCAGCCCGCACGGACGUGGGGUACUGUAAAAAGCAAGAUCGCCUCAGGCCUUACACCUCGAACCAGUAAAACUUGUCGUGUCCUAGUGCUAAAGUGCCUUCGUCAUAAGCUUCGACCGAUCGAACACACGAUUCUGGUUAUCCACUGGUUUGGAUAGCAGAGAGUUUACACGAGUUACGAAUAAGGAUGAGGCUUUGACUUUGGAGUAUUAUCGUAUUGGUCAUCGUGACGGAGAGCUCAUGGUCAGGACUACACCGUAUACUAUUCUGCUGCGGCGUCAAAUUGAAGCAAUAUGGAUAAGCAUAAUAGGCCCAUCUAGCCGAAGGACGAAGAAUUUUGGCAGCCUCGAGUGUCUCCGCCAUGAAGAGCCGGGCUGAUUUUUCAAAUCGUCUAACAGCCUCUCGUUCAAUGGCCUUUUUAUCCCAGAACGGAUGUCUCGCCCGUUCAAUUUCCGUUGACAAAUCUCGAUACGGCGCCAGUGAAGCCCAGUUUUGACGAAAUAUGGGACGCCAGCUUUCGAAGUCCAAUAUACCGAGUCCAGCAAAGUCCUGAUGGGGUAUCUGUUCUAGUAGAUGUUCUCGAAAGAGUGUAAGAUGAAGGGUAAGAUUACCUUCUUGCGGCACACCGCCAUUGCGUCUCACGAGUUUACCUUAAAGAGCAUACAGAGAGCUGGGAAGAUUCCAGGAUCAUACAGUAUAGCCAAUUGAUCUCCACGAAAAUCAUCUUUAAUAUUUUGAAGGAUUCCAUAAUCCUUGCUCACCUCCUCAAAGUGCAUACCAUACUGGUGGCACAUAAAGGAACUCAAGUUAGUUAUUUAUCUACCCAAAGAGUCUGGAGGCCUCAACGCACGCGCACAUCGUCCCAAUGAUAGCAGCAAGCGUUAUCAUAUCGCUAGUCGUGUAAUCUAAUGGGUCCCCAUAACGUGACGCAACGACACAACAAAACCAGGCGUGUGACUGAAUUCCGCUCGUUUUCUAUGCCAGUAUAUAUAUUCUGCAUCGCCAACGUCCGUCCCCACCUAACUGUACGCAAAGCGCGCGUUCAGUCGGAGUCUCGUUAUCUACCGCCCCAGCACAUUGUUCGGCGUUCUGACAUUUCCGCCUUUUUCAAAACUCGGCCAUGCACUCUUCCAAGGAGACACACCGUGCAGAUAGAGAGAAUAAUGACCUCAUCGUGUCUUAAUCUAGGCAGCCGUAAGUCUUUUGAUGCCUUUUUUGAGAAGACAAAAUAACCAGAUGCAAACCCCUGUAUCUCUACACUAAUUCGUUGGGAUACAAGAGGAAUGGAACAUCUGAAAUUGAAAGAGACUUACCGUCAUAGUGCCACCUCUGUAAAAAAAGGUAC